rnacentral:tRNA from 1 species
CGGUAGAAUGGCUGAUUAAAGCGGUAAAUUGUAAAUUUUCUUAUGAAUAUUAUUCUUCUAU